CAGCCUCAGGCCUGCGGGGACGGUGUGCGGGAAGGGAGUGUAUCCUGGUGUAUGACAGCAUAUAGUAGAGACCAGUGUCAAUUAGGGCCUGUGAACUGAGACAGGGUGACUGGCUAAGUCCACAACCCAUUAGAAACCCAGAAAUAAUCAAAUCAUGAGGGAUCAUGGAAAGGAAGCUGAAUUUGCUGAGUUUUGCCACGUGGGCAUUGCAUGCCUAUGUGAUUAACCACCAAUAAAAACCUGGGACAUCAAAAAAUAAAUAAGCUGCUUUAAUUGCCAAGAAUUCACAUGUGGUUGUAUGCAGCAUUACUGGGAGAUUGAAGUGUAUCUGCAUGUGAUUCUACUGUGAUGGACACUUGUAAAUUUGUGCCUGGAGUCUCCUGGAAUUUGCCCUGAGAAUCUUUUUCCUUUGUUGAUAAGAAUCUGCAUCCUUUUGUUUUAAUAAACGAUAAACAUGAGUAUAAUUGCUUCUCUGAGUUCUGAGAGUUUUUUAAAUAAAUAAUCAAAGCUGAAAAGCAAUGGAGACCCCCACCAAAACAUCUUUACACAUUUCAAUUUUGUAUUGAAGUAAAUUUUAUUUUCUUUUUUAUACCUCCCGUAUAUAUUCUAUUUUUCUCAUUAUUAUUUAUUUAUCCCAAAUCUUUUAUCUGUGAUCAUUUUCCUUUGUUUGAAAUUUGUCUUUUGAGAUUUCUUUAGAAGGUGCUUUUGGAUGAUAAAUUUUCUGUUAUUCUUUGUCUAAAAUGUCAUUAUUUUGACUCAUUUAUAAAAGGAGUUUUUGUGUUUUAUAAACCUCUAAUGUAUAGAAGUGUGUCUAAACUCAUUGAGGAUAUUUUCCAAAUUUUUUCCUGCUUUUUAUUGCUGUUGAUAAGAAAUCAGUGUUGGUAUUUUGACAUUUAAGUUAUGUGUCAUUUUGUUGUGGUAGUUCUGAAGAUCUUCCCUCUGUUUUAUAUUCUCCUUCACCUUUCAUAAAUGUACUUUAUAUUUAUUUGGUAAUAAAUUUUGAACAUAUACUAUGCUAUAAAGAUAAUCUAGGCCCUUUGGUUACAUCUCGUAAAUAAAAUCAACAAAAUCUGUUUUGAGAUUAUAUUGUAAUAUAAGAUACCCAAAGUAAAUAGGAUAUGUACCAUAUGUUUGAAGGUGGUAAAUACGAUGAGAAAAAUAGAUCAGGUCAGGAAGAAUGAAGAUGAUUGAAGGUACAGGUUAUGAUAAAAACUUAGGUGUGCCGAGGAAUGAAUUCAUCUUAUGUAUCUUGAGUGUAAUGUCUUAUUUCUCCUGAAUCUGAGAAUUUGAUGUCUUUCAUUAGGUAUGUCAGUGAAUUUCACUAAUG
rnacentral:lncRNA from 1 species